rnacentral:rRNA from 1 species
AACGAACGCUGGCGGCAUGCCUAACACAUGCAAGUCGAACGAGACCUUCGGGUCUAGUGGCGCACGGGUGCGUAACGCGUGGGAACCUGCCCUUAGGUUCGGAAUAACUCCCCGAAAGGGGUGCUAAUACCGGAUAAUUUCUUCGGACCAAAGAUUUAUCGCCUUUGGAUGGGCCCGCGUUGGAUUAGCUAGUUGGUAGGGUAAAAGCCUACCAAGGCGACGAUCCAUAGAUGGUCUGAGAGGAUGAUCAGCCACACUGGGACUGAGACACGGCCCAGACGCCUACGGGAGGCAGCAGAGGGGAAUAUUGGAAAAUGGGCGAAAGCCUGAACCAGCAAGGCCGCGUGAGUGAUGAAGGCCUUAGGGUUGUAAAGCUCUUUUACCCGGGAUGAUAAUGACAGUACCGGGAGAAUAAGCUCCGGCUAACUACGUG